GGAAAGCCUUGCCAAAUGUGUGUUUCCUUAGGUUCACGGUACAGAGGAAGGGUCACACUACCACCAGGGUCACAAAACUACCCCUGGAAAUGCCCACAACUCCUAGGAAAGCCUUGUCAAAUGUGUGUUUCCUUAGGUUCACGGUACAGAGGAAGGGUCACACUACCACCAGGGUCACAAAACUACCCCUGGAAAUGCCCACAACUCCUAGGAAAGCCUUGUCAAAUGUGUGUUUCCUUAGGUUCACGGUACAGAGGAAGGGUCACAAAACUACCCCUGGAAAUGCCCACAACUCCUAGGAAAGCCUUGUCAAAUGUGUGUUUCCUUAGGUUCACGGUACAGAGGAAGG